GCGCCUCCACCCCCAUUCCUCAUUCUAUCACUAAUUCGGUGCAAACUGUGGAAGCAGACCCCCACCCCCUCGCCUCAAGCCCCAGCGCUCAGCACUACUAGGACUGUUACUGCGUUUGGAAGCGGAAAGUAGAGGGAUACAAAAUAAGAGAAUACGAUAACCUACUUUAUCUACGAUGCUGGGUAUUUUAAUAUUAAUUUUUUUUUAAGGGAAAAGGAGCAUUUUUUUCCUCGGCCAAAUACGGGAUGUUAGAGUUACUGUCAAACCCCAGAGACACCAGCCAAUAAACAUUGUGCAGAACCUCCAUGCAAAAAUGUCUGUAGGGUUGUUUGCCAGGUUCUGAGCUCGGGCUCCGGAGGGGCUGUCAUGUGGACAAGGUCGUCAGUUGGGGUACUGGAUGGAGUGAGGUAUUGGGGGAGCGCAAGUCCGAGCUGGAGAGGUGGGGGUGGUUCGAUGCCCCGGAAGCUGGUUAUUGGGAGCCAGCAGCGGGUGAUUUUCCAGCACCGACUUGGAGGGGGGAGGACGGGGGCGCUGGAAGGACCGUGCCCAGCAGCGCCAAGGCCGGAGACCGCGGCGGCUGGGACCUCAGGCACCACUCCGUGGCCUGGAAAACGGGGCUUUGGGGAGGCAAGGAGAUGAUGAUUCAAUGGGAUCCCCGUCCUUCUGCUAAUGCAAGCAUUUUUACAAAGCUCUAUGUGGUCCCUGGGAUACACUCCAUCUGGAGCUGAGGAAACUAGGGAAUAGCUAUGCUGCCUAAGAAGGACACAUUUCAGCCCAAGCUCACAGCAUCUUCUGCCACCACUGGACCCCAUUUGGUCAGUAAUGCCAAACCUUGAUGCAGAAACAAGCAUUCCCCAUCUUCAGACAAGCAAGUCUUACCCAGGCUGUCAGCUCACCAGAUGUCCUAAGCUGACCUUCUUCGGCUCUGGUGAAUUCAGCUGCUGGAAUUCCAAAGGAACCCCAUCUACGUCACUAAGCCUAUAGGACAACAACACACCCUAAGAAACCUCAACUGCAGGGCUCCCAUCCAAUGGGGAAAUCUUACGACCUGCAUGGGCAGGGCCAGGGAUGGCUCAAAUGGGCUGGCACAUGGCAAGCUUCAAGGUGUUAAGACAUCUCAAGCGUUGCUGACACCAUUUUAUCCACCACCUUACUCAACAAGAAUAACAGGAAUGAUCUGUAAAAGUGACACUAAUGAUUGCAAUUAAAAAAAAAAAAAAAUCCCCUUUCCCAAACCAGAAGAAUCUUGACCAGUAUGUAGGAACCCAGAGUUAUGUUGCCUUCUGAUUGCUGCCUUCUGAUCAACAGAUCACAGUUUAUCCUCAAAUGUGGACCCUUGGUAUCUUAGUUUAGUAUCCGAUUUGUGUUCUAUGAGAAAAUUUCUGGUUGUAACUCCCAGUUGAGGUCUGAUUUUUCCCCAUUGAUGUUUCAACUGGAGUGUCAAUGAGUUACAGAUGCCUUGUGGAAAAUCCCCACACUGAUUCUACUGGAGAAUUCCACCUUUUGACUCUGACCCACCUGGGGCUGUGAGGUAACCAAUUAAGAUAAGGACAGAUGGAGUUCACGUCAUGGCUCAGUGGUUAAUGAAUCUGAUUAGCAUCUAUGAGGACACGGAUUCAAUCCCUGGCCUUAAUCAGUG
ensembl:lncRNA